rnacentral:rRNA from 1 species
UACGUAGGGGGCAAGCGUUGUCCGGAAUCAUUGGGCGUAAAGAGCGUGUAGGCGGCCCGAUAAGUCCGCUGUGAAAGUCCAGGGCUCAACCCUGGGAUGCCGGUGGAUACUGUCGGGCUCGAGUCCGGAAGAGGAGUGUGGAAUUCCUGGUGUAGCGGUGAAAUGCGCAGAUAUCGGGAGGAACACCAGUGGCGAAGGCGACUACUUGGCCCAUUCUUGACGCUGAGGCGCGAAAGCUAGGGGAGCGAACGGG